UUGUUGGUAGGGUAAAAGCUUACCAAGGCUUCGAUCAGUAGCUGGUCUGAGAGGACGACCAGCCACACUGGGACUGAGACACGGCCCAGACUCCUACGGGAGGCAGCAGUGGGGAAUUUUGGACAAUGGGGGCAACCCUGAUCCAGCCAUGCCGCGUGAGUGAAGAAGGCCUUCGGGUUGUAAAGCUCUUUCAGCCGGAACGAAACGGUUACGGUUAAUACCCGUGACUACUGACGGUACCGGAAGAAGAAGCACCGGCUAACUACGUGCCAGCAGCCGCGGUAAUACGUAGGGUGCGAGCGUUAAUCGGAAUUACUGGGCGUAAAGCGUGCGCAGGUGGUUUUGUAAGUCAGAUGUGAAAGCCCCGGGCUCAACCUGGGAACUGCGUUUGAAACUACAAGACUAGAGUGUGGCAGAGGGGGGUGGAAUUCCGCGUGUAGCAGUGAAAUGCGUAGAGAUGUGGAGGAACACCGAUGGCGAAGGCAGCCCCCUGGGUCGACACUGACGCUCAGGCACGAAAGCAUGGGGAGCAAACAGGAUUAGAUACCCUGGUAGUCCAUGCCCUAAACGAUGUCAACUAGUUGUCGGGCCUUUACGGGCUUGGUAACGUAGCUAACGCGUGAAGUUGACCGCCUGGGGAGUACGAUCGCAAGAUUAAAACUCAAAUGAAUUGACGGGGACCCGCACAAGCGGUGGAUUAUGUGGAUUAAUUCGAUGCAACGCGAAAAACCUUACCUACCCUUGACAUGUAUCGAAGCCCGCAGAAAAGCGGGGGUGCCCGAAAGAGAACGAUAACACAGGUGCUGCAUGGCUGUCGUCAGCUCGUGUCGUGAGAUGUUGGGUUAAGUCCCGCAACGAGCGCAACCCUUGUCAUUAAUUGCCAUCAUUUAGUUGGGCACUUUAAUGAGACUGCCGG
rnacentral:rRNA from 1 species